AAAGGUGCGUGAGGCAUUGAGAAAUCCAAUUGAUGUGUUAAACAGUCUGAAAACAAAAGCGUGUAAUGAGAGCUAUCAUUAUGAACGCCUGUACCGGAAUCUGUAUAAUGAGGAAUUUUUCCUGCUGGCUUAUCAAAAUAUCUACGCCGGUGAGGGGAACAUGACCGCAGGAGCAGACGGAAAAACCAUAGACGGUAUGGGCAUGGACAGGAUACAAACGCUGAUAGAGAGCCUAAAAAAUCACAGCUAUCAGCCAAACCCCGCACGCCGCACCUACAUCGAAAAGAAGAAUGGGAAGAAACGCCCGCUGGGUAUUCCCUCUUUUGACGACAAGCUGGUGCAGGAGGUCGUGCGUAUGAUUUUAGAGAGUAUUUAUGAGCCGACAUUUUCCAAUCUGUCACAUGGCUUUCGCCCGAACCGGAGCUGUCACACCGCUUUGCAACAAAUCCAAGGCACUUUCACAGGGGUAAAGUGGUUCAUAGAGGGCGACAUCUGCGGAUUUUUUGAUAACAUUGACCACACUGUACUGAUAAACAUUCUGCGCAGACGAAUCCAUGACGAGUAUUUCAUUGCUUUGCUGUGGAAAUUUCUGAAAGCAGGAUAUGUAGAGGACUGGAAGUUUCACAAUACGUAUUCCGGCACUCCGCAAGGCUCCAUCAUCAGUCCAAUUCUAUCGAAUAUCUAUUUAAACGAGCUGGAUAGGUUCAUGGAGCUGUAUAUGAAGCAAUUCCAAAGUGGGAAAAAGCGUCAGAAAUCCGAAGAAUACGCAAGCUGGGAACACAAGCUCAAAUACCUGCGGUACAGCAAAUACACAAAGGGAAAAUGGGCAGAUUUGACAGUCGAGAAACGGAAAACAGCCAAUGAAAGCAUACAGGUUAUCCGAAAUGAAAUGCUGAAAUGCGAUUACUCUGACCCGCAGGACAGCGGCUAUCGCCGGUUGUUUUAUGUCCGUUAUGCGGAUGAUUGGCUGUGCGGAGUGACUGGCAGUAAGCAGGACGCAGAGGAAAUAAAGGCAGACAUUCAGCGGUUCCUUUCAGAAACGCUGAAGCUGGAGCUGUCCGAGGAAAAGACGCUGAUAACCAAUGCCCGUGAUACGGCACGUUUUUUGAGCUAUGAUAUUUUCGUUGCAGACAAUGAUAAUCUGCGUGAAGAUAAAAAUGGUUACACAAGGCGUGUCCAUAACGGCAAGGUGAAGCUGUAUGUUCCCCGUGAAAAGUGGCAGAAAAAGCUCACGGAUUACCAAGCUCUCGAAAUCAAGUAUCAAAAUGGCAAAGAAAUUUUCGUUCCUGUUCACCGAACCUAUCUCAUCAACAAUGACGACCUUGAGAUAUUACAGCAGUAUAACGCUGAAAUCAGAGGACUUUACAAUUAUUAUAAAAUCGCUGACAACGUGAGCGUCCUCGGUCACUUCAAUUACGUGAUGAAAUUCAGCAUGUUCAAGACCUUUGGAGCAAAAUAUAAGCUCCAUAUCAGCGGUGUUCGGAAGAAGUACGGUUACAAGCGGUUUGGUGUUAGAUAUCAGACCAAGCAAGGUGAAAAAACGCUGUAUUUCUAUGAGGACGGCUUUAAAAAGGUCAAAAAUGCUGUUGCAAGUCCAGAGGUUGAUUCUGUUCCCAAGGUAUACCGCAACAACAACCCGACCAGUCUGAUUUCACGGUUGAGAGCCAAGCACUGUGAAUGGUGCGGGGCGACCAACGUGAAGCUGGAAAUUCACCAUGUUAAAAAGCUCAAGGACCUAAAGGGGAAAAAACGUUGGGAACGGCUGAUGAUAGCUCGAAAACGUAAGACACUUGCAUUGUGCGUGCAGUGUCACGAUAGUUUGCACGCUGGAAAAUUAGACUGAUAGAUAAAUGGAGAGCCGGAUACAUUGAGAGGUGUAAGUCCGGUUCGGGGGCGGGUGCUUGGAAACCUGCCGCUGUGAAGCGGUAAGGCGCUGGGUACCCAGCCUACUAAAAAUUUUAAUGGCCGUAG
rnacentral:autocatalytically_spliced_intron from 1 species